GACGAACGCUGGCGGCGUGCUUAACACAUGCAAGUCGAACGGAGUGGCGAACGGGUGAGUAUUACGUGAGUAACCUGCCCUCAACUGUUGGAUAAGCCUGGGAAACUGGGUCUCAUACUGCAUAGUUGGGGAUGGGCUCGCGGCCUCUCAGCUUGUUGGUGGGGUGAUGGCCUACCAAGGCGGUGACGUGUAGCCGGCCUGAGAGGGUGGUCGGCCACGUUGGGACUGGGAUACGGCCCAGACUCCUACGGGAGUCAGCAGUGGCGGAUAUUGCACAAUGGGCGCAAGCCUGAUGCAGCGACGCCGCGUGAGGGAUGAAGGCUUUCGUGUUGUAAACCGCUUUCAGCCAUUACGCGGUAGUGGCAGAAGAAGCACCGGCUAACUACGUGCCAGCCGCCGCGGUAAUAC
rnacentral:rRNA from 1 species